rfam:Dipodomys ordii contig_46039, whole genome shotgun sequence.
GGGAAGGUAGCUCAGUGGUAGAGUGCAUGCCUUGCAAGCAUGGGGCCCUGGGUUCGAUUCCUCAGCACCA